UAGAAAGUAGUUUAAUAGGUAAAACAAAGAAUUUUGAUUUCUUCAACAUAAGUUCAACCCUUAUCUUUCUAG
rnacentral:tRNA from 1 species